GCCCUCGUAGUUCAAGGGAUAGAACGCUCGCCUCCUAAGCGAGUGGCUGUUGGUUCGAGUCCAACCGAGGGCA
rnacentral:tRNA from 1 species